GGGAUGUUAGUCCCAAGGGCUAAGGAAAUGUUCUUUUCAUGCCCUGCAGAGAGACAGCCAUGCUCAACUCAUGGCUUUGGGCAUAGAAGUCAUGUCAUGCUGUAGCUGAGGGUCUGGACUCUGGAACCAAAUUGCCCGGAUUCGAGUCGUGCCUCUGCUUCUUGCUAUCUGGAUGACCUCAGCUGACAAAGGAUUUGUGCUCCGUGAAACACUGAAUAAUAUCAAUGAGACUAUUCAGAGAUUGGGCUCUGCAGUUUCUGUGCAUCAACACCCUGCGUACUCCCCCUUUUUAAUAAAUGGAUAAAUACUACAUUUGACGAUGGUGACAUUAUCCAUGUCCUCCACGGCGGCUACUUUGUUGGCUACAUUCGGGAAGUCUGAAAGGCUGUGGAGAAUGUUAACAGGGUUCAAAUACGGGCCUUUCGCGGCAGGCUCUUCGUUAGAAUGUGGCGCUGGGAGAACCUUCUGAAGCUGGCCCAAGCCCUCAGGGAUGGACUAGCGAUGGAAGGCCUCGAUAGCGUGGAUAAGGAAAGAGGGGCCCCAGUGUCAGGCUUUCAUCUGCCAGCCGGAGUAGUCCAAGCUGUCACCCCAUGGACUCCAAAUGGAGAUUAUGGACAAAGGAGGAACGACACUGGACGCCAAUGGUUUCUCUCUGGAACAGAAGGGAGGUUAACCCCCAGCAGGGCUGGCCAGCAAGGCCAGGGAGGCCGCCAAGCUGUGACACACCUGGAGAACACAGCAGCCACAGACCAUGGCUCAGAAGCAAAAGCAUCCGAGAGCUGGAGCCCCCAGAGGGGAGAACCAUCCCCAGAGCCAAGCUGGGGACACCCACCAAGGACAAACCAACUCAAGUCAUGUGCUCCCAGUGUGGGGACGGGCUGCUCCGCUGCGGGUCUUCCGACUUCUGGCCAGACAACGCUCUGGUCUCUUUUCCACCAACACACAGCACCAUCUUGAAUCACAAUGGUGAAAGAACUGAAACUCUGUAGCCAUCAAACAACAACUCCGCAUUCCCUGCUCCCCACCCCUGACACCCUGCUCCUUUCUGCCUCUAUGGGUGUGACUACUCCAGGUACCUCAUGUCAGAGGAAUCAGACAGUACCCGCGGAUGCCUUGACUUAGCACAUUUUCUUUUUCUCCUCAGAGGUCAUCAUUGUGGCUUUGUGGCUUAACUUUGCAAAUACAUGUUCCAGAGUCCUGUCGUCUGCUCUCCCAGGACUUUUGCAGCAAAGCCAUGCUGUCCCCAGGCUGGGGCCCCGUGAUGGCCUCCCAGAACUGCCAGUGGCAUCUCCAAGGAGGAAAAGAGCCAAGGUGAACGUAAGACGCUUCACUCUGAAGACUACAAAGACCCAAUGAAGACCACGCUAACUUGGAUACUGGAAAAGGAUUUUAAAAGACAGCUAAAUUAAGGUUUUCCCUGAGCUUUUUCCAUCUCAAGCACUUAAGUUACUCUGUCUCUGAGAUCACAGUGGGAUGAUCAAUUGAAUUUUUAAAAGUCAGAGAGCUUUUGUGUCCAGAAAGAAAGACUUUCUGUAGCAGGGCUUAAAAUUGGUAUUCAAUUUAUUGAAGCCACAAAUUAAGAAUCUUAGUUUUUAUAGAUGUUUAAAUUCAGCUUGCUAAUUUGUUUCUUUUACUCUUGGAAAUAUAGCAAUUGUCCAAAAAUAAGAAGAGCCAUUUUUACAUUCCUUGAUUCACGUUUAAAUUAACUCAUAAAUUAACUCAUAAAUUAAAGGAUUAAAUUAUUUUCUCUUAAAUAACUAACAAAAUUUUCUCGAACAUUUCAUACUACAGUUAAGUACGUAAUACCUCUAUACUUAAUACGUCUUGUCAAAUGGCUAAGUAAAUUUAACAAAUUUAAUAAGCACAUUCUUUCCUAACACUUAAUCAACUAUUGUGACUCUCAUAAAUUUUAAAAUAGAGUAAAGCCAAUAAUUCUAAUCUCACAUAUCUUAAAGUCAGAUCAAGCAUACUCAAAGUAGCAUAGUAAUGACAAAAUCUAUUACAUUCAAUGAUCCCUACAAAUGCAUACCUGACAUAACAAUGUCAAUAUUACAUUAAUCUUUUUAUCCUGGAUUUACAAACUUAUCCAGUGAAGACGAGCAUUAGCGCCUCUGGCUGGCUGCAGCAACCAGGGUGGAGCCCAUUUAUAAAUCUUGCCAUUGGACGAGCCCGGACGAAAUUGCAGAGCCACAGGCCAACAAGAGGAGCCCUGGUUUAACCUUAGCCUCCGAGUGCUUGCCCAAUCACUUCCUGAAAUACUUGCAUAAUAUUUUUCUGCACACCCACAUGCCCCUCCAAAUCCUUGCCCCAUCCAGAUUGCAACUUUUUUUUUUUUACCCAACAAUAUAUCUUGCAGAUUGUUCAGCUCAGUUUAUUUUUUUUAAACUUUAUUGGAUCCAUUUUAUUUUAUUUAUUUAUUUAUUUUUGAGGAAGACUGGCCCUGAGCUAACAUCUGUGCCCAUCUUCCUCUACUUUAUAUGUGGGACGUCUGCCACAGCAUGGCUUGCCAAGCGGUGCCAUGUCUGCACCCGGGAUCCGAACCGGCGAACCCCGGGCCGCCGAAGUCGAAUGUGCAAACUUA
ensembl:lncRNA